rnacentral:lncRNA from 1 species
AACACGGCCAAUUGAAUUACGAGAUCAAGCAAAAAUGGGUGUGAAGAGCUUCUUCCAGGAAAUGAAGACCAAGAUCUCAUCAUCUCGGUUGUUCAAGGCUUUGGUGACAGAAUCUCCGGAGGUAGUCCCGAAAUUCACGACAUCAAUCAAGAGCAUCGAGCUGAUCCAAGGCAGCGGCUACGCGCCUGGCGCCAUUUUCCAGACCAACUUCCCCGAGGGUAAGCCACUCAAUCCCAUCCGGAUCCUCAUCUACCUACAUAUAUAUAAACAUAUAUAUAUGAUGAUGCAGGUGCCCACUUCAAGUACAUGAAGUGCAGAGUGGACGAGAUCGACCACGAGAAGCACAGCAUCAAGUACACGUUGAUCGAGGGAGACAUGCUGGGCGACAAGCUGGAGAAGAUCUGCUACGACAUGAAGUUCGAGGACACGGAAGAUGGCGGCUGCGUGGUGAAGGUGACGAGCGAGUAUCACACGAAGGGUGACUACGAGCUAGCCGAUGAGGAUCUCAAGGGUGCCAAAGAGCAGUCGCUCGGUAUGUACAAGUCUUGUGAGGACUACCUCCUUGCUAACCCCCACGUCUGCGCCUAAAUAUUUAUCAUCUCCUCGCUUCUGUGUUGAGUUGUGUGAAUAAAGAAACAAUUCUACAGUUGUUUCCUUAUUAAGACUUGAGUUGCUGUGUUUGCUUUUCUUCAACCAACUUUGUCUUCAUCCCUAUAUAUAUGUACUUGUAAUUUAAGAGCUUGCUUUGCUAUAAUUUCCUCUAAAUUCAUUCUCUACAUCUACUGUUUCAAUAUUUUCUGUCUUAGAUAGUAC